rnacentral:rRNA from 1 species
AGUGAACGCUGGCGGUAGGCCUAACACAUGCAAGUCGAACGGCAGCACAGUAAGAGCUUGCUCUUACGGGUGGCGAGUGGCGGACGGGUGAGGAAUACAUCGGAAUCUACUUUUUCGUGGGGGAUAACGUAGGGAAACUUACGCUAAUACCGCAUACGACCUACGGGGGAAAGCAGGGGAUCUUCGGACCUUGCGCGAAUGAAUGAGCCGAUGUCGGACUAGCUAGUUGGCGGGGUAAAGGCCCACCAAGGCGACGAUCCGUAGCUGGUCUGAGAGGAUGAUCAGCGACACUGGAACUGGGACACGGUCCAGACUCCUACGGGAGGCAGCAGUGUGGAAUAUUGGACAAUGGGCGCAAGCCUGAUCCAGCCAUACCGAGUGGGUGAAGAAGGCCUUCGGGUUGUAAAGCCCUUUUGUUGGGAAAGAAAAGCAGCAGGUUAAUACCCAGCUGUUCUGACGGUACCCAAAGAAUAAGCACCGGCUAACUUCGUG